CAUACACAUACUCUGCUCCGUGAGGGAGCAGUCGCUAAAGAGCUUUGGAUAGACCAUGUAAGGUUCUGCAGGUGUCCCACCCAUCUCUCAUCACAUAGAUGCUUUAAAAGUGUACCAUGAUGGGAGAAAGAAGCAAUGGGAGGGAGCAGGGGAUGAAAGAAGACAUUCGACAAAGAUCCCAGGUCGGACUCCGAACGAGGGUGUCGUAGUUAGGCUACAUGUGUUUGUUGGGGUCAAAGGCUGAAAGCUGGUGAGUGGUGACCUGAGUGAGAGGCCUCGGUGACAUCUGACCUCUAACUGGUUGUGCGGCUGAUCCUGGAGGAUACAGCUCAACAAUGGGAGGCACGUGCCUUGGCCUUGUCACCAUGGUAACACAGGACAUUUUGGAACGGUGAGGGGGGUUGGAGGGGUCAAAGCUGGGAAUUUAUCCUGAUCAGUGUUAACCGUCUGCUGCCAAUUACUUUUAUGUAUAUAAGAACAUACCCACUACAACACAGCGUGUGUGUGUGUGUGUGUGUGUGUGUGUGUGUGUGUGUGUGUGUGUGUGUGUGUGUGUGUGUGUGUGUGUGUGUGUGUGUGUGUGUGUGUGUGAGUGAGACGGUGCACGAGUGAAGAUAAAUAGGGGCUGACUGAGUAAUCUCUGCAGGCAACUGUGAUGGUGCUUUAAAUUCUCACAAUCACCUGGAGAGAUUCUGCAGUUUGUCUAAUAUGCCUUAAAAAAAAACCUCCAUAAUACAAACCUUGUUUCAUCUCCAAUCUUUGUAUCACAAAUCAGAGAACCUAUGACGAAUUCUUUGCCAUUGCAAUACAUUACAUUUUUCAUUUUAGUGUUUUCUGCAACAUGUUGGGAGACCAAAUUGUUUACCAAAGGUCGGCUCAAAAACUGUCUGCCUCGGUGAAACGGUGAUUCAAGAGGAUUUUAAUGCUCUUGUUUGAGGUAAUUACCAUUGCACAAUAGAAGAUAUGUUGCUAUGACACUUUUGAUUAAUCUUUUUAUGCCUCACUAUUACUAUUAAGUCAAAACAGUUGGUUGUUUAAAAGAAGAAAAAGGGGUGGGUUAUUGAAUUACAGUCCUGAAUAAAGGCCAACAGGUGCAGUCCACCUGGAAGAAAACAUGUUUCACACUUUAUACUUUGCCUCUUUGAUGCUGUGCAAGCUGCAUGCUCACCACAGAUCACCACCACCCUGAUCAUACAACCAUCCUGCCACCCCAGACAACACAGCACUAUACCUACAAUAUUACUCUUCAAAUUCCACGUAAUGUAAUAUUUGAAACAUCUGCAUUUUUUUCUUCAUUUCUACUACCAACCUUCUUGUCUCUAGCCUGAGUCCUUUUCCCACUCUUACCCCUCCUCCACCUCUGCUUUUUCUGUCUCAUCCCCUUCUCCUUGUGUUCUGCUGUGUUUUGGUGAAAUCUCAGCUGGCAACUGUGAGUCGUUCACUAGCUGCUCUCACAAUGGCCUCUGGGAUUAUGCUAAACACAGCGCCUCGGCUGCUCUCCCCAUCGACCGGCGUCAGCGACGCCCUUUGGAGCACACAGGAAAGAGAUGGAGGGCUCUCAAUGAAGAUGUCACUGCAAUUACACAAGCGCGUUUCACAGACACCCUCUCUGUCUACUUAGCCUCCUCACGCAUCCCCCUUCCCCACUUUUAAAAAAUUUCUUUUCGACAGUCUUUUGAAGUGCAGCCUCAUCUCUUGCAGCUCUUUCAUAAUGCAUGCCCAUUUUGAAUUUGCAUGAAUUCACUUUCCAGAUGCUUCUGCUGCCAUCUUGACUUACAGUGAUGUGUACUGUACAGUAUUGGCUAUUGAAUUAUGGUAGCAUGAAAAGAAUAUUAAUAAUAAUGGCUUGUUUUUAGGAGUUUGGGUUAUUUUUGUAUCAUUCAUCUCACCGUUAAGAGAUAUUGCGAAAGGAUCAAUAUGUGAUGUGAACUAUUCAGCUUUUGUUGCCCCUGCACUGAUGCCGGGGUGAAGGAAGAGCUUUCUGAUGUGGAUGAUACUGCAUCAGGAACUGAUUGGCUGAUGCUCAAUAGCCAACAGUACCUGAUGCAUUGCCUUCAGCAUCGAAAGAAACGUCAGAGACUACUGGCUCCUUUAACGCUCUGAAAAAUGUACUUACAUAGUUACACUAGUGUAUUAGCAUAUGAGUUUAUAUUUGCUCUUAGGACUGUGAAGCAGUGAUUAUGAACAGAUUAUCAGCAAUAUACCUUGCACACUUACCAUGCGAUUGCCCCAGAGCACGUGUAUGUGCAUGUGUGUGUAUGUUAGUCACUAUUGUGGGCUGGAGGAUUAGGUAAUAAUGAUCUAAGAGAUGUUGUUAAUCGCAAAGAGGUAUUUAUGGUAAGCUACUGUUCCAAUUUAUCACUCUUGCAUUUAAAUGUAUGUUGGUGCGAUCUGGUGUAUUAUGUUACCCUAUUGUUCACUUAAGUCUAAAUCGGCUGCAUGGUUGUUGUUUUUAGGUCAUAUGUUAGCAUGUUUUUCUUGCAGGCUAACUUUUCUGAAGAAAGAUGUUUUAAUGCAAUGUUUAAAGUGCACUUUUGCACAUAUGUUCAAAUGUACUGUAUCAGAACAGUGCUUUUGUAACAUCAAUGUGAGAAGGAUCAUCUGCUUUGACUUUAAUAGCAUUUCUGUGGAUCCUUUCUCACACCUAGAGGUGCACCCAGUGGGGCUGGAGCUCGCCAGGGGAAUGUUCUCUUAUCUUCUCUUUUAUCAGUCUUGGAUAAAAUCUUCUAUUUAUCUUGAUAAACUGUUUCAAAACGGCUUUGAUUAAUCAAGUGCUUUAUCUCAAUGUCUCUGCCAUUUUUGUGCAUCUGUUGAAUAGAUUGCCAAGUAAAAUAAACUUUUAAGUGAA